UCGAGGGCAAUGCCAUAUAGGGGGCUUAACUGCGAGACUCACAAGUCGAGCAGAUGCGAAAGCAGGACAUAGUGAUCCGGUGGUAGCUCGUGGUAGCGCCAUCGCUCAUCGGACAAAAGGUACUCCGGGGAUAACAGGCUGAUCGCUGCCGAGAGUUCACAUCGACGCAGCGGUUUGGCACCUCGAUGUCGGCUCAUCGCAUCCUGGGGCUGGAGAAGGUCCCAAGGGUUUGGCUGUUCGCCAAUUAAAGCGGUACGCGAGCUGGGUUCAAAACGUCGUAAGACAGUUUGGUCCUUAUCCACUGUGGGCGUAGGAAAUUUGAGGAGAACAUUCCCUAGUACGAGAGGACCGGGAAUGACGUACCUCUGGUGUUCCAGUUGUCCCGCCAGGGGCAUCGCUGGGUAGCUAUGUACGGAACGGAUAAGCGCUGAAAGCAUCUAAGCGCCAAGCCUCCUCCAAGACGAGAUUUCCCUCUCCGCAAGGAGCUAAAGGCUGGUCGCAGACGACGACCUCGAUAGGCCGAUGGUGUAAGCCCGGUGACGGGUUGAGCCUACCGGUACUAAUCAGCCGUGAGGCUUGAUCAUUUUU
rnacentral:rRNA from 1 species